rnacentral:tRNA from 1 species
GCGGGUGUAGCUCAAUGGUAGAGCGUUAGCCUUCCAAGCUAAAUGUGAGGGUUCGAUUCCCUUCACCCGCUCCA